AUUCGUGAGUCAUGGCCACAAAGGACCAGCUGCAGAUUCUCUGUGCAUUUAGCCUCUCUGUGUAUGUGCGUGCUUUUUUGUGUGUGGCCGCCCAUCUCUGUGCAGCUCAAGUUAAAUCGGGCAAUUGACAAAAGUAUUGCUAGUUUUUAGGCGCGUGUAGGCCCUGGCUUAUUCUUACGUUAUCGUUACUUUUUAUUUUACAAGCACUCAACUGGUGGCAAAAUGCAACGCAAUAAAGUAUAAUACCGAGAAUAUUAAAUAAAAUUCUUAUUUGAUAUAUGGCAAAAAUUCAACCGAGGAAAGAUUUAAAAAAAAAGAUUGAUGGUUUUAUCAUACAACCUGGACAUUCUAAUCUCGAUAUGAAUCUGGUGCUGGAUUUACUUUAAGUGGUGGUGCUCGCUCUUUCGGAUUCCAUUUGACAUAUUCUUCUGCGUUGUCACGGGCUAACCGAUUUGGGGCUUCAGCGCCUACGACAUACAAAAUGGCUUCGAAGACGAGAGACGCGAUUCAAUUUUACGCACUUAUGUACGCAACGCCAAAAACUGCCACCUUAUUGACAUAUUCUAUUUGAUUGUCAACGAAUACGCGGACUGGUUUCUCACCUCACAGCAUUCGAGCAACGCACGUGAUAUGGCCGUGGCAGGGCUACCCGAUGCUCAGUUCGUGGCGCCCAAAGAACUGACUGGUUUACAGCCAAUCCCGAUGCUCAGUUUGUGGCGCCCAUACAACAGCCAAUCCGCAGCCGUCAGUGGGCUCUGCGACGCGCAGUGGGGUAGCCAGUUUCGGCACAGCCGUUGAGUCACCAUGCAAACCGAACUAGCAUCAUAACCAGGACUAUGUGCUACCCGAUUCAAGGAAGUACGAAUGCAGACCGCAUGGUGUGCUCGGCAUAUAUAUCCUGUACCAGGUCAAGCCCGAUAUAUGCAAAACAAGUGUCUUAGUGUUUGACACACUGCAGCAGUCGAAGCAAUCCGAUUCUGACAUCUAUCUGCAUUGUGUGGUACUGGUCGUGUUGGUACUAAAGGCCAGGCCAUUACCGUUGCCUCUAAUAAGAACGAUGCUAACGAAGAACAGGAUCGAUUCGAUGUCACCAAAAACGAGCUGCCAGAGAAAAUGUCCACAUUUAUUGAGGCAUGGAGAACAUAAGAACAUUAAACAAAAUAUACCAAUUUAUAUGAAAUUUACUUUAUAACUAAUAAAAUACAAUCCAAACAAAAGUUUUUGGAAUCAAUAA